rnacentral:rRNA from 1 species
CCCCCUGAAAGCGGCGAACGGGUGAGUAACACGUAGGUGACCUACCCUAGAGACGGGGAUAGCCUGCAGAGAUGCGGGGUAAUACCCGGUACGCUCGUCGGCUUAGAGGCCGGCGAGGAAAGGCGCAAGCCGCUCUUGGAUGGGCCUGCGGCCCAUUAGCUAGUUGGUGAGGUAACGGCCCACCAAGGCGACGAUGGGUAGCUGGUCUGAGAGGACGUCCAGCCACACUGGGACUGAGACAUGGUCCAGACUCCUACGGGAGUUAGCAUCGGGGGAUAUUGCACAAUCGGCGAAAGCCGGAUGCAGUGACGCCGCGUGCAGGAUGAAGGCCUUCGGGUUGUAAACUGCUGUCGGGUGGGAUGAACGCCGGGAGUGAUGUCUCGGGCUGACAGUACCACCCAAGAAAGCCCCAGCUAACUACGUGCCAGCAGCUGCGGUAAGACGUAGGGGGCGAGCGUUGUCCGGAAUCACUGGGCGUAAAGGGCGUCUAGGCGGCUUGGUCAGCGGAAUGUGAAAGCUCAGGGCUCAACCCUGAUAUGCCGUUCCGAACUGCCAGGCUUGAGUACGGGAGUGGGUAGUGGAAUUCCCGGUGUAGCGGUGAAAUGUUUAGAUAUCGGGAG